AUUGAACGCUGGCGGCAGGCCUAACACAUGCAAGUCGAACGGUAACAGGAUGAAGCUUGCUGCUUUGCUGACGAGAGGCGGACGGGUGAGUAAUGUCCGGGAAACUGCCCGAUGGAGGGGGAUAAAUACUGGAAACGGUAGCUAAUACCGCAUAACGUCGCUAGACCAAAAAGGGGGACCUCAGGGCCCCUUGCCAUCGGAUGUGCCCAGAUGGGAUUAGCUAGUAGGUGGGGUAACGGCUCACCCAGGCGACGAUCCCUAGCUGGUCUGAGAGGAUGACCAGCCACACUGGAACUGAGACACGGUCCAGACUCCUACGGGAGGCAGCAGUGGGGAAUAUUGCACAAUGGGCGCAAGCCUGAUGCAGCCAUACCGCGUGUAUGAAGAAGGCCUUCGGGUUGUAAAGUACUUUCGUCGGGGAAGAAAAGAAUAAGGUUAAUACCUUUGCUCAUUGACGUUACCCGCAGAAGAAGCACCGGCUAACUCCGUG
rnacentral:rRNA from 1 species